GUGCUCGCUUUGGCAGCACAUAGACUAAGAUUGGAGCGAUACAGAGAAGAUUAGCAUGGCCCCUGAGCAAAGGUGACAAGUUCAUGAAACGUUCUAUAUUAAA